rnacentral:misc_RNA from 1 species
GAUGAAGAACGUAGCGAAAUGCGAUAAGUAAUGUGAAUUGCAGAAUUCAGUGAAUCAUCGAAUCUUUGAACGCACAUUGCGCCCGCCAGUAUUCUGGCGGGCAUGCCUGUUCGAGCGUCAUUACAACCCUCAAGCCCCCCGGCUUGGUGUUGGGGACCGGCCACCGGUGCCCUGCUGCUUCCGCGGCAGGCGCACCCGGCCGCCCCCGAAAUGAAUUGGCGGCCCCGUCGCGGCCUCCCUCUGCGUAGUAGCACACAUCUCGCAGCUGGAGCGCGGCGCGGCCACUGCCGUAAAACGCACCAACUUUUUUUACAGUUGACCUCGAAUCAGGUAGGAAUUCCCGCUGAACUUAAGCAUAUCAAUAAGCGGAGGA